CUAACAUUAUAAAAAUUGUGAGGGAAACAUUUAAUAUUGUCGUGUCACAAAUUAGAAGUAACUUGCGUUUAAUCAACUCAAGUUAAACAGUUUAGCCUACUAUUACUUUAUAUACAUAUAAGCACACUAAAGUAAUGUUUUAUACUGAAAGACCUGUGGUUUAGAUUAUGUCACCGAAAUAAAAGUACUCUAUUUCUCAGUGUAACUUAAAACUGCGAGUUUAGUAAUACGAUUCUAGGAAUUAUGUCCCUUCCAGCAGAAAAGCCUAAGCCCUUAUUCAGGAAUUUAGAAGCUGAUGACCCUAAACCCGAGAUUCUUGAACUUGAGAGCCUUUGUAUAAGAUGUGAAAAAAAUG